CCCCCAGCCCCUCGGGAAGUGGCCGCAGUCGGUGAGUCUCGGUCCUCACGUCCUGCCUGGGUGCCGGCUUCCUAGGGUGAGAGGGACAUCUUUAUCAGUCUUUUAUCAGACGCGACUCGGAUUUCCUCUGUUUCCAAGUCCACGUGAAGGGGAGCAGGGGACGGUAGAAGCUACAGUCCCACCACUUUCCAACAGCUUCUGAAGCGGAGCGGCGGCUUCUAUUAUAUGCUACACUAAUCUUUGAAAGGCAACCUCAGACUCUGCUUCGGAUGUCCUCUUCUGAGCUUUCUCUUUCUAUCUAUAUUAAAGCCAUUUACUCCACACCUUUGCUUCUUAACAGUUCAGACACUGCUAGCCAUUUGUCUUUUCACUUGCUUGUAUAUUUUUCUGCCUAUUCAUGAGUUACAUUAAUCUCUACCAAUUUUCGGAGGGAUAGGGUGGUGGAAUGAAGCAACUCCGCAGAAGAAUGUUACAUAAAAUACAGAAGAAAUUUGUUGUAUUCUCAAGGUAUUAGAGCGAGCUAUGUAUUUGAGUUAACUUGCUGCAUUUAAUGGACACUAGCAUGAGGUUAUUUGCACACUGCAUAGAUUAACUGUAAUAUCCGUGAGCUAACAGGACACUGUUGGCUGUGAAUUAUGUGGACAAUAUAGCUUUGCCGUUGUGUUCCCUACUCUACUAAAUGAAGCCAUUGGUCCAUUUUAUUUUUAACACGCUUUGAUGGGAAUGUUGGGCCUUUUGAUUAGUCUGUGUUCCCUACUCUACUAAAUGAAGCCAUUGGUCCAUUUUAUUUCUAAUACGCUUUGAUGGGGAUGUUCUGCCUUUCUCUUCUCUAGCCAGUUUCAUAAGUAGAAACUUUGCAAGAGCCAAGCAGAAAAUUGUACCAUGUAAGGAUAUAGUCUGUCCAUGAACUCUCUAAAUAGAUCAUGCAAAUAAUGGACUGACAUCAUCUCUGCCUUCAAAAGAGCCACCCUGAGGGGAAAAUAAGACAAAGAAAUAAAAAGCUGUCUUGCAUAACCAA